rnacentral:misc_RNA from 1 species
CAAAAUCUUUGAAGCAUUUCCUGCAUAGAAGCUCAAAAUCCUGCAGUUGCAACUCAUCUUCAUUAGAUCACUCUUUGAGCUUGCCGUUGUUAAAGGAUUCGGAUUACGAGUCCGUUUCCAUUUCCUCAUCUAGGUUAUCGCUUUCUUCUUCGUCUUCGAGCCACGAGCAUGAAGAUCUCCCUAGACUCUCUCUCGAUUCAGAGAAACCAAACCCGAGUUUAAACGCGCCCCAAAAUCCAAAUCCGAGCCCAAACCCAUUUGUUCUCAAUCGGAAUCCAAACCAAAAUCCUCCUAGAAUGAGAAUGGUGAAGCCCAGGUCAGA